rnacentral:rRNA from 1 species
GGACCAUCAUGUCGGUCGUGCCUCGGUACGUACUGGCAUUAUUGGUUUCUCCCUUCUGAAGAACCAUGAUGUCAUUAAUUUGGUGUCAUGGGGAAUCAGGACUGUUACUUUGAAAAAAUUAGAGUGUUUAAAGCAGGCUCGCGCUUGAAUACAUUAGCAUGGAAUAAUGAAAUAGGACGUUUAAUUCUAUUUUGUUGGUUUCUAGGAUUGACGUA